GUCCCAGUCUGUAAUUGAAGUGGGUCCCGUCUCGCUGAAAACCACCAUACCCUCUCACUUCCCUGUUUACUUCUACAACCUCCAAACCUUGCUAUCGGCUCAAUAUCGAUAUAUCCUCAUUUGCAGCCACAACAGCUCUUUG
rnacentral:lncRNA from 1 species